GAUGAACGCUGGCGGCGUGCUUAACACAUGCAAGUCGAACGAUGAUCCGGUGCUUGCACCGGGGAUUAGUGGCGAACGGGUGAGUAACACGUGAGUAACCUGCCCUUAACUCUGGGAUAAGCCUGGGAAACUGGGUCUAAUACCGGAUAUGACUCCUCAUCGCAUGGUGGGGGGUGGAAAGCUUUUGUGGUUUUGGAUGGACUCGCGGCCUAUCAGCUUGUUGGUGAGGUAAUGGCUCACCAAGGCGACGACGGGUAGCCGGCCUGAGAGGGUGACCGGCCACACUGGGACUGAGACACGGCCCAGACUCCUACGGGAGGCAGCAGUGGGGAAUAUUGCACAAUGGGCGGAAGCCUGAUGCAGCGACGCCGCGUGAGGGAUGACGGCCUUCGGGUUGUAAACCUCUUUCAGUAGGGAAGAAGCGAAAGUGACGGUACCUGCAGAAGAAGCGCCGGCUAACUACGUGCCAGCAGCCGCUGUAACAC
rnacentral:rRNA from 1 species